CGAGUUUACAACUCCCAAACCCCUGUGAACAUACCUUACUGUUGCCUCGGCGGAUCAGCCCGCUCCCGGUAAAACGGGACGGCCCGCCAGAGGACCCCUAAACUCUGUUUCUAUAUGUAACUUCUGAGUAAAACCAUAAAUAAAUCAAAACUUUCAACAACGGAUCUCUUGGUUCUGGCAUCGAUGAAGAACGCAGCAAAAUGCGAUAAGUAAUGUGAAUUGCAGAAUUCAGUGAAUCAUCGAAUCUUUGAACGCACAUUGCGCCCGCCAGUAUUCUGGCGGGCAUGCCUGUUCGAGCGUCAUUUCAACCCUCAAGCCCUCGGGUUUGGUGUUGGGGAUCGGCGAGCCUUUCUGGCAAGCCGGCCCCGAAAUCUAGUGGCGGUCUCGCUGCAGCCUCCAUUGCGUAGUAGUAAAACCCUCGCAACUGGAACGCGGCGCGGCCAAGCCGUUAAACCCCCAACUUCUGAAUGUUGACCUCGGAUCAGGUAGGAAUACCCGCUGAACUUAAGC
rnacentral:rRNA from 1 species